rnacentral:lncRNA from 1 species
UUAAAAUUUAAACAAGUGUUACAAAAAUUGAUAAAAUGAAUACCACAAUUGAUAAUAUUUAAUACAGUCAAAAGUUAAAACUCACAUUUUCAAGAUAUUAUAAGGGCGUACAAGUCAUUUCAAUUAAAAAAAUUUAAAAUACCCCGUGACUUGUGUGUAAAAAUCGACUUAUCAUACUAAGUGGCUGCUAUCUUGAUUAAAAAUUUUAAACUGAAAGUCUAUAUAUUUUAUAAACCAUUUUUAAAGAUAAAAAAAUAUUAAAAUAUUUGAUUUUAAGCGGAAAAUUAGAUUAUCUAACACCCUCUUUUUUAUUAAAUUUACGGCACCUUUUAUUUUUUUAUAUUUUUAUUGUGUUAAAAUAUCAACUAUAAGGUUUUUAAUCUUUUUUUAGAUUAUAAUUUCGGUUUUUUAAAAAAAAUUUAAUUAUUUUUAGAAAAACAACCGCAAAACAACUAAAAAACAAAAAAAAAAAAAAUCACCCAGUGAGUUUGAAAAAAAAAGUUAAAAAAUAAUAUUUUAAGAAAAAAGACAUAUUUCUUUUAUUGAUUUUAGGGUACUUUUGAAAAGACCAUUUGAAAUAUUGUAAUAAUGUUAGAUUUAAAUUUCUUAGAAACUCAUACUCUCUGUAUUUGUAUUUAGUUGGGUUCUACUCUACCAAAUCUUGGAAAUAUUGGAAUUUCCUACCCAAUAAUUGUUUUGAACGC